AUCUUUCCAUCUUUUGAGCGGGAUAUUGAUCAAAUGGUACGAGAUCAUCCCAGUGCUCUUGGAUUAAAUUUUCCAUAACAAUCUUGCGCUCAUCUGAUCAUCUGAUUAGAAAUGCUAUCUUAGUAAACCGGAAAGGCUGUGUCGCAACUGUUCAUGAAAACUUUGACACAUUCUGCGGUAUAAGGCAGACACGUCAGGUAGAGUUUACUAUUCCAAACAUUUUUUUGCCAUGUAGAUAAAUCGCAUGUUUGUAUAGCUAUAUAUGAGCCUUUUACGUUGCGGCUGGGCACACAAAAACCUGACUUCUCAAAUCGGUAUGGCCGGAAAAAUCGCGUCAAACAUUAACAGACGCAAGGGAGAACUUUACUGCCCCCAUUGGCACAACAGUCCUAUGUGAAUAGGAAACCCUGCAGUUUAGAAGAUUGCAAACACUUAUAUUACUAUGUAAUUUGUUUUUAAUAUGAACUAAACAUAGAACGAGACAUUCUGUUUAUAUUGUUAAUAAAACUGCAGCUGAAUAUU